rnacentral:rRNA from 1 species
UAGAGUUUGAUCCUGGCUCAGGAUGAACGCUAGCGGCAGGCUUAAUACAUGCAAGUCGAGGGGCAGCGGGGGUAGCAAUACCUGCCGGCGACCGGCAAACGGGUGCGGAACACGUACACAACUUUCCUUUAAGUGGGGGAUAGCCCAGAGAAAUUUGGAUUAAUACCCCGUAACAUUAUGUAGUGGCAUCAUUAUAUAAUUAAAGCUCCGGCGCUUGAAGAUGGGUGUGCGGCUGAUUAGGUAGUUGGCGGGGUAACGGCCCACCAAGCCUUCGAUCAGUAACUGGUGUGAGAGCACGACCAGUCACACGGGCACUGAGACACGGGCCCGACUCCUACGGGAGGCAGCAGUAAGGAAUAUUGGUCAAUGGACGCAAGUCUGAACCAGCCAUGCCGCGUGAAGGAUGAAGGUCCUCUGGAUUGUAAACUUCUUUUAUUUGGGAAGAAACCCAUUUUUUCUAGAGUGGUUGACGGUACCAGAUGAAUAAGCACCGGCUAACUCCGUGCCAGCAGCCGCGGUAAUACGGAGGGUGCAAGCGUUAUCCGGAUUCACUGGGUUUAAAGGGUGCGUAGGUGGGCAGUUAAGUCAGUGGUGAAAUCUCCGGGCUUAACCCGGAAACUGCCAUUGAUACUAUCUGUCUUGAAUACCGUGGAGGUGAGCGGAAUAUGUCAUGUAGCGGUGAAAUGCUUAGAUAUGACAUAGAACACCAAUUGCGAAGGCAGCUCACUACGCGAAUAUUGACACUGAGGCACGAAAGCGUGGGGAUCAAACAGGAUUAGAUACCCUGGUAGUCCACGCCCUAAACGAUGGAUACUCGACAUACGCGAUACACUGUGUGUGUCUGAGCGAAAGCAUUAGGUAUCCCGCCUGGGAAG